rnacentral:rRNA from 1 species
UACGAAGGGGGCUAGCGUUGCUCGGAAUCACUGGGCGUAAAGCGCACGUAGGCGGACUCUUAAGUCGGUGGUGAAAUCCUGGAGCUCAACUCCAGAACUGCCUUUGAUACUGAGGAUCUUGAGUCCGGGAGAGGUGAGUGGAACUCCGAGUGUAGAGGUGAAAUUCGUAGAUAUUCGGAAGAACACCAGUGGCGAAGGCGGCUCACUGGCCCGGUACUGACGCUGAGGUGCGAAAGCGUGGGGAGCAAACAGG